rnacentral:rRNA from 1 species
AUUGAACGCUGGCGGCAUGCUUUACACAUGCCAGUCGAACGGCAGCGCGGGCUUCGGCCUGGCGGCGAGUGGCGAACGGGUGAGUAAUGCAUCGGAACGUGCCCAGUAGUGGGGGAUAGCCCGGCGAAAGCCGGAUUAAUACCGCAUACGACCUGAGGGUGAAAGCGGGGGACCGAAAGGCCUCGCGCUAUUGGAGCGGCCGAUGUCGGAUUAGCUAGUUGGUGGGGUAAAGGCUUACCAAGGCGACGAUCCGUAGCUGGUCUGAGAGGACGACCAGCCACACUGGGACUGAGACACGGCCCAGACUCCUACGGGAGGCAGCAGUGGGGAAUUUUGGACAAUGGGGGCAACCCUGAUCCAGCCAUGCCGCGUGCGGGAAGAAGGCCUUCGGGUUGUAAACCGCUUUUGUUCGGGAAGAAAUCCUCUGGGCUAAUACCCCGGGGGAAUGACGGUACCGGAAGAAUAAGCACCGGCUAACUACGUG